rnacentral:rRNA from 1 species
GGGUCAGUAGGUUGGUCGUGCCACCGGUACGUACUGGUCUCACUGAUUCCUCCUUCCUGAAGAACCGUAAUGCUAUUAAUUUGGUGUUGCGGGGAAACAGGACUGUUACUUUGAAAAAAUCAGAGUGUUUAAAGCAAGCUAACGCUUGAAUACAUUAGCACGGAAUAAUGAAAUAGGACGAUCGAUCCUAUUUUGUUGGUUUCUAGGAUUGACGUA